rnacentral:tRNA from 24 species
GGAAGCGCCAAGCUCACUGGUGGGGCUCCCGGACUUCAAAUCCGGUGCGGGGUAGUGAAGGCUGUCCCGGGUGGGUUCGAUUCCCAUGCGCUUCC